CGGUCUCCAUCAGCGGCAUUUUCCACUUUAAUUGAAAUUUAGAUUGUUGUUGACCCCCUGGAUGAGGUUUGGUGGACCAAGCAGAGGAAGAGGAGGAUAUCAUGCAACCCUAAUGGGCAGGCUGGAUAUCACCAUGCAUCAUUUAUCAUGCAGGCCGCUGGUCCUGGCUCUGAGCCGAAUAAAUCUGAAGGACCUGAGGGACAUCAGCGAGGCUGUAUGGACGAGCACCAGUGGACAUUCUGCUAUUAAACGAUUACCCCAUCUGCCUCCAUUUCACUUUGGCCUCUCAAUGAAUGUUCUAUUUGCCUCACUAACUAAUGAGAGUGGAAGAAUGCCUGCGGCAAUAAAUGUUUAAAAUGACUU